GGGAGGUUGCCCGAGUGGUUAAAGGGGACGGACUGUAAAUCCGUUACUUCGGUUACGCAGGUUCGAAUCCUGCACCUCCCA
rnacentral:tRNA from 1 species